CCGAAUUGUCAACAAGAGUUGUUGCUGGUCUUCAAAAUGAGGGCAUGUGCACGCUCUGUUUACACAUCCACUCACACCUGUGCACUUUCUGUAGUUCUAUAGUCGGGGAGGCCCUGCCUUCCUUCUGUAGUCCUAUAUCUCUUUACACACACACACACUCGGUGAUAAAGUCUCGUGGAAUGUAUGCCGCGUUUAACGCAAUACAAUA
rnacentral:misc_RNA from 1 species